AUUUAUAUAGUUUAAAAAUAAAACCUUACAUUUUCACUGUAAAAAUAAAAUUUUAAUUUUUAUAAAUA
rnacentral:tRNA from 1 species